GAUGAAGAACGUAGCGAAAUGCGAUAAGUAGUGCGAAUUGCAGAAUUCAGUGAAUCAUCGAAUCUUUGAACGCACAUUGCGCCCCCUGGUAUUCCGGGGGGCAUGCCUGUUCGAGCGUCAUUUCACCACUCAAGCCUCGCUUGGUAUUGGGCAACGCGGUCCGCCGCGUGCCUCAAAUCGACCGGCUGGGUCUUCUGUCCCCUAAGCGUUGUGGAAACUAUUCGCUAAAGGGUGCUCGGGAGGCUACGCCGUAAAACAAACCCAUUUCUAAGGUUGACCUCGGAUCAGGUAGGGAUACCCGCUGAACUUAAGCAUAUCAAUAAGCGGAGGA
rnacentral:misc_RNA from 1 species